UUACAGAAAAAUAAAUUAAGAAUAUUGAGCAUCUUGUAAAGUUAUACUUUGGUGUUGGUUUUACAAGUAAGGAAAUAUUUGAUCUUUUAACAUCAACAUCAAAUUACCAGAAGCAGGACUAUUAAAUGAUCUAACGAGUAUUUUAAAGAAAGAACUAAAAAAAAAACUAUUUUCUCAUUAAAGCAACUCUUUUUUUUGUUUUAGGGCGUUUUUCUGGUAAAAUUGCAUCUUUUUGCUGCUAAUAUUGUCCUCGUAAUUAUUCAAACAUUCUCACAACCCGCCGCUAUUAUGCCUUGUACAACUCAGAAGGGAUGAUUGAAAUAAAGCCACAUUUGGAAAACAUUUUCUGUCAUUUCUGUAAUUCCGUUUUUAGAAAAAGAAAGCGAGGGAAAUACAUAAAUUAUCAGAUUUGGUAUUAAAAAAUGCAGAUAUUUUAUCACCCAACCCCACUCUAUUAUACCUUCUAAAGGUAAACCUCAAAUUUGUGAUGUCACAAAGGUGCAUUUAUGCCAUCAUUACAGAUUAAAAUGUUGAUUAAUGUCUCAUUUACAAAGUUUCAAAAGCAGCUAUAAACAGGUGGGUUUUAGUCUAGAGUUAAAGGAAGUCAGUAUUUCGCCUGUUUUGUAGUUUUCUGGAAGUUUGUUCCAGAUUUGCGGUGCAUAGAAGCUGAAUGCUGCUUCUCCAUGUUUGGUUCUGGGGAUCAAAACUUUGUGUUUUUGCAGCGCACACACAACAGUCUGAGAUUCUAAAAUCCUCAGGGUCUGGAUAAAUAUUUCUCCUUUGAGCUUUAGAGGAUGUCAGCUGCAUCUCCUCUGAG